rnacentral:misc_RNA from 1 species
GAUGAUAGAUUGGACACGUCGGUAUUGCGCUUUGACGGCAUAGCUCUUUGUGUCGCGAAGUCGUGGAAAGUUUCGUGGACGAGUGCCGCGACAUUAGUAUUUUGCUGUUGGUAAUUAUACGUAAUCCAGUGAAACUGAAUAGUUUCGAAAUUGAAGUAGCCAACGCUCAUACCGCGUUGAAAAUACUCGUUCUCGUCAGUUGACCGUGAUCCUCCGAGCAGGCCGGACCUCUCGGCCCUAAGGGACUACCAGGCGUAGGCCCUAACAGUGAGCGCAGCAAUCUAUUCAGUGUACAGUAUACAGUGAGAGAGCGGAGAAAAAAAAACAAAAAGAGUGCUAAGCAGUGAAAAAAUAGUGAUAACAUCACCCACACUACAAACAAUAUAAAAAUAGAAGAGGAAAGGAAUGAAAUUGAAACCAAGGAGGCGGAAUCCGCCAUAAGUCCGACAAAAAAAGGGGUCAAAAGGAAGAUAGAAAAGCAAC